rnacentral:rRNA from 1 species
AUGACGCACCGAGAUGGUCUGUUUCCAUAUGAGACAGUACGACGAUCCAACCAUAUGCCCAGGAGACCAUGGCCGGCCACCCCAGCAAAGAUAGAUACUGCUACUGAUGGCAUCGGAAGAAAAUUUGUGUGCAGUGCAGUGCACUUGCCUCGUGAUGAGCAGAUUGAGUGGUGGGUGCAGCCUGAAGAUGAACUGCGGGUCAGGUGGUUCAGGGUUCGGGUCACUGUACCUACUUUUUCAGCCGAAGGAACUGGCUAUAGCCCUAGAGCCUUUGCUGGUUGGCCUGUUAGCACAAGGUUACCUUGGUGUAGUACCUUGAAAAGAGUGAGCUGGAGGAAACGACAGCCAUCAUUUCCGCGGGCCGCAAACAACUGUGAAUUUUACCCAAAACCUACUUAUGUCAUCAAGUAUGUGGACCUUGCUAAGAGUAUCUACAACCGGACCUCCCACAUCCGCCCCCAAAUGCUCCCCAAAACCAGCCCAAACGGCCGGGUUGUCCGGCAACCCCCAGCUCAUACGUGGGAUGGAUAUGAGGAGGCUCGGACGCACCCCAACACCACCACCACAUGGGAUCGGCUCGCUAUGGCCCAUGCUGUCCCCAUCAUUGUCCCCACAAAAACCCCAUACGGUCUGACGAACCCUAGUCAAAUCCCACUCCUCUCAGUCCUCUCACCCUCUUCGCUCCCCUCAGCCAUGGCCAAGUUCAGCGGCAACUCUAGCAGCGAUGGACUGGGGCGGACUCGUGAAGGAGGAGGACUCGAGCUCCGGCAGCGAAGUGCUAGACAACGAGGAGCUCGAGCUCCGCAUGGCCAUCAGGCGGUCACAGGUGGACACUGCGGGAUCUCGAGCUCCGUGGCAUGCACCGCCAGCUCCUCCAGGUCCCAUCACGGCAAUGCGCCCUGUGCACGCCCGUCCCGCUCCAGAUCCGAAACAGGGCGGCUCUCUCCCCUUCCCCUCCGACACCAGCUCUGCAUGGGCAACGUUGGGUGCUUGUGCCCGCAGCUCCCAAAAGGAUGCAAGCUGUCAGAGUCAGAGGCGAAGGCAGUUGGCCGCGCAGAGGGAGACAGAGCUCGACCAUUCGCCCGCUCCGGCCCGUCUUCCCGGAGGAACAACUCCUCCGCAAGGUCAUGCGCCGGCUACAUCUCUUCCUCGUCGGGCAACGGCACCACCAGCACAAACAACGAUGAUCCUCCUGUUGCGGACGCCUAUAGGGAGGAGAUGCAACACCGCUUCGACUAUGGUGAUUGCAUUGCUCUUCUCAAAACCGCAAAGGAAAUUUGGGAUUGCCUUGAGGAGGCUCUUGAAGGAGAUGAAGCAAUUCGAAGAUCUCGGUUGGCCUUGCUCAAACAAGAAGUCAAUCUCUUUGUGAGGAAUGAGGGUGAGUCCGCAGAAGAGGUUUACCGAAGGUUGAAGUCCCUUGUGCUCAACUUGAGAACCUUUGGGUGCACUUGGGCAAAUGAUGAAUUCAUCAAGGACAAGUUCAUAGAUGCUAUGGUUCUCACAGAACAUACCAUGGUCAUGAUGGUUCAUCAACGUCCGGACUAUCACAAGUUGACUUCGGCUCAAGUUGUUUCCACCUUCUCUACACAUGUUCUUUUGGAAACCAAGAAGCCUCCAGCGCCGCCGCCGUCGCCUCCACUCGCCGGAGCUCCUCCAGGCUUCACCGGGGUUCCUCCUCCUUGGACCUGCAUCCAGAUGGGGUCCUCCUCCGACUCCACUGACAAGAGGUCUGAGCUUCGUCGCAAGCGUGCAAAAGGAGGAUCAAAGGACUUCACCAUUGCUCGUCGUCAGCCGUCUGAAGGCAUGGGUCAGGGGUAUGGGUCAGGUCAGGGUCGUGCUCGCCGUGCAGCCUCAAAGCGGCCCGUUGUUGAGUCUUCCGAUGAUUCUGAGGAAGAAUAUGACUCACAAGAUGAUGAGAUAGAAGAAGAAGAUGAUCGUGGUGAGGAAGAUGAAGAAGAGGAAGAGGAGUCUAGUCCAGAGGAAGCCACUCCGGGCAGGCGUGACCUCCGGAAUAUGACUCUUGUCAAGUGGACCAAGCCAGAGAUCUGGGCUGAGAGACAGAGCCAUCCGUAUGUUAAGGCCACGAGUAUGGGAAUGGAUCCCCGUUUCAAGAAUGGGUUUCAGCAAAGAAUCUAUCAUGAGCUUCUUAUGACCAAGUCAAAGAAGUUUUCUCCUCACAAGCAAGUCAACACUGAGAGUUUGCGCGACAAUGAUCAUCUGUAUCCCGGUGUGUACUCUGCUCUUGGACGAUUGGGUCUGAUUCCGUUUGUCACCUUCAACCACCCCUAUAAUGAAGAUCUAGUGAUGCAGUUCUUUGCCACUCUGUACUUCUCCAAUGAUUCUGCUCGCACUCUCACAUGGAUGUCUGGAACGCAUCAGUGCUCAGCUCCUAUGGCAAAGUUCUCCAGGAUCAUUCCCUACCCGUUCAUGGAUGAAGAGACUAUUUCUGAUGAGUUUGGCAUUGUUCGGGAAAGUGGGCAGCGCACUAAGGAUGAGAUUGCCUUUGCUUACAAACAAGAGAAGUCGUUUGUCAUUGGGUCAAUCAAAGACCUCUUGCCCCUCUAUGACACCAUGCGCCAUAUCCUGCGGUAUACCCUCUCUCCAAAGGACGGGGAUUCCCAUAACAUUCAGAGCUCCAUUCUUGAUGUCUUUGUGUAUCUUCAUCAGAAGAAGAAAGUGGAUGUUCUGGAUUUCAUGUACUACGAGCUGCGUUACAAAACUCCAACUGGACCCCAGCUGCUCAUGCUCCCUAUGUGCCCAUCAAGAAGGGGCGCAACCCUAGGCCUGAGGAUCGUGCUACUUACACUCCAGGCAUGUCCUCUACUGCACGGAUCCCUCGUGGAAAUCAACAAGGAGAAGCUUGUUCGGCGUGAGCAGAAGGCAGCAAGGGCUACUGCUGGUGAGGAGGUCGGUCCAGGUUCAGAGGACGUCGAUAGUGAGGCCACUGCUCGGUCUUUCCCAAUGGCCGGGUGGCAUUUUGAUGAUGAUGAUGAUGCCUCGAGUGCUCCUCCUCUUGUCUAG